CAGUCACUACUUCUUCAUUUGCAAGGUUGGUAGAACAUGAGACUCUUAAUCUCAGGGUUGUGAGUUCAAGACCCAUGUUGGGUGA